CCUACGGGAGGCUGCAGUGAGGAAUAUUGGACAAUGGGCGCGAGCCUGAACCAGCCAAGUCGCGUGAGGGAAGACGGUCCUAUGGAUUGUAAACCUCUUUUGUCGGGGAGCAAAAGACGCCACGCGUGGCGUUCCGAGAGUACCCGAAGAAAAAGCAUCGGCUAACUCGGUGCCAGCAGCCGCGGUAAUACGGAGGAUGCGAGGGUUAUCGGGAUUUAUUAGGUUAAACGGGGGCGCAGUGGGAAGAUAAAGUCAGCGUGAAAAGUUAGAGGCUCAACCUCGUCGAGCUGUUGAAACUGGUUGUCUUGAGUGAGUGAGAAGCAGGCGGAAUGCGUGGUGUAGCGGUGAAAUGCAUAGAUAUCACGAAGAACUCCGAUGGCGAAGGCAGCAUACCGGCGUUCAACUGACGUUGAUGCACGAAAGUGUGGGUAGCGAACAGGAUUAGAUACCCGGGUAGUC
rnacentral:rRNA from 1 species